rnacentral:rRNA from 1 species
AUUGAACGCUGGCGGCAGGCCUAACACAUGCAAGUCGAACGCGUGGCGGACGGGUGAGUAAUGUCUGUGAAACUGUCCGAUGGAGAGGGAUAACUACUGGAGACGGUAGCUCAUACCGCAUACCAUCGGAUGUGCCCAGAUGGGAUUAGCUAGUAGGUGGGGUAACGGCUCACCUAGGCGACGCUCCCUAGCUGGUCUGAGAGGAUGACCAGCCACACUGGAACUGAGACACGGUCCAGACUCCUACGGGAGGCAGCAGUGGGGAAUAUUGCACAAUGGGCGCAAGCCUGAUGCAGCCAUGCCGCGUGUAUGAAGAAGGCCUUCGGGUUGUAAAGUACUUUCAGCGAGGAGGCGUUACUCGCAGAAGAAGCACCGGCUAACUCCGUGCCAGCAGCCGCGGUAAUUC